CAAAUGAUGGACGUUAAAAUUGUAAGAUCUGAUUGAGGUUUAUGUCAGGACUUGUAAAAUUAACUUUUUUAAAUUGGGCUUUAUUUUAGGUUGUACUAGUUCAGUUAUACAUGGCUUUUAAUGUAGUGAUUUUAUGGGGGAAAAGUUGUUUAGAGCAAGCCAAGCUAAAUUUAGUUUGUUGGUAGCAUAAAGAGCUUCAAAAAAGAUGUAUAGAUAUAUAUAUAUAUUUUCAAUUUCUUCUGUAGAAACAGUUGCAUGGCAAGUCAAAACACUGUUCUAGCAGAGCCAGACAGGAACCCCACCAUCACUCCACAGUGGGAAACCUCUGUGAUGCGUAUGCCCAGGAUGCUCUCAGAUCAGAGAGAAAAGUCGCUCACUCAGCUCAGAAGAGUGGAAAAGGCAAAACUGUGGGGAGAGUAAAAAGAUUGGUAGUUUGCUCAGGACUGGGGAGGGAGGAGAAAGGAGGGCUGAACAGGAUUACGGGAGAUUUUCAGGGCAGUGAAACUGAUCUGUAUGAUAGUAUUAAUAUAAUUGUGGAUACAUUCAUUAUAUAUUUGUCUAAACCCAUAGAAUGCACAACACCAAGAGUGACAUCUAAUGUACUUUGGGUAACAAUGACGUGUCAAUGUUGGCUUAUGGAUUGCGACAAAUGCACCACUCUGGAAGAUGUUUUAUUGACAUGCCAUGUUGCCCAGGCAGGUAGGUCGAGUCUACGGGAGAAGGUAAGUGGCCGCCGUGGGAAGAUUCUAGUCUGCUCAACUCAUGGGCCAACUCCCCAACCCAUAUGACAUGUUUUACUGGCAUUUCUUUCGAAAUUUAUUACAGUUACUGCAUAACUCAAAUUUUUAUUUUUCCUUUUUGUAAGCCAUUGUUGGUUCUUACGGUGGCAUAUUGGUUUCAUAUACUUUAGAAGUCCCAGGGUUAUUUAAGAAUCACUGUCCUUGAUUGUAGGUAUUGGUAAAAGCACAAUUAUGUAUUCUAAUUAGUUACUCUUGAUAGUUACUCCUACUAAUGAGAGCUUCUCAUUUAUCUCAGAAUUUCCAAAGUCAAAGUCCUGAUUUUUAGUGUCUACCCUCCCAGUGUUUACAUGUUUUAACUAUAGGAUAACUUGGUGAUUUUGGACUAUUUUCUGUGGCAAUUUAUUUCAGCUCUGUAAGAAAUGAAUUUUUGAUCAUUGAUAAGAACUAAAAUCUAGUCAAACAGUUCUGCUAGUAAUCAGUUCGACUUAAAAACAAACUGACAAAAGAACAGGCAAAUUCUGGUCUAAUCUCUCUGAGCACCAUACCGUGGUAUGUGCUCUCUUCUUCUUUUAACUUAAAAGAUACAGCCCCGAGCAGUUGGGAAUGCGAUCUAGUUUUGUUGCUUUGCAGGACACCUAGGUACAGUGUCCCGUGUGGUGUUGUCAGAGGUGUUUGAAGCAGAGGAACUCCAUCUUGAGUAGCAGCUGUGUAAAAUGAGGCCGAGAGGCACUGGGCUGCCUUCUUAGGAGGUCGGGCAUUCUUAGUCACAGGAUGAGAUAGGAGGUCGGCACAAGAUACAGGUCACAAAGACCUUGCUGAUACAGCAAGUUGCAGUACAGAAGCCGGCCAAAACCCACCAAAACCAAGGUGGGACCACAGUAACCUCUGGUUGUCCUCAUUGCUCAUUAUAUGUUAAUUAUAAUGCGUUAGCACGCUGUUAGUAAAAGACACUCCCAGCAGCACCAUGACAGUUUGCAAAUGCCAUGGCAACGUCAGGAAGUUACCCUAUAUGGUCUAAAAAAAAAAGGAGGAACUCUCAGUUCUGGGAAUUGCCCACCCCUUUCCUGGAAAACUCAUGAAUAAUCCACACCUUGUUUAGUGUAUAAUGUAGAAGUAACGAUCAGUAUAAGCAGCUGAGCA
rnacentral:lncRNA from 1 species